UGGAUUGUGUAAGCUAGCGUGUGUGUCACUGCAUUAUUUAUAUCCCUUUAUUAUGCUUUAGACUCCCAUGGUGCCGUUGUGGAGAAACAGGUGCAGAGCCGACUGCGAAACAGUGACCAAGAAUGUUCCCCCUGAGCCAAGAGCUGAGCAGGGUUGAUCAGAGAGAGAGACAGAGACGCAGCUAUCUGGAGUGACAGCAGUCAUGUAACAGAAGCAAUUAACAUUUGGCAGUGUCCCCUGGAGUGGAACACCUCAUAAAUCUCCCGCUACGAAAGCUGAGACAACACGAGUCUCUUACUCCGUGCUGCUCCGUGGGAAAGAAAGUGGGCAUUGUUCAGCAUCCAGGCUCAGGUUGUCUAGCUCCAUGGAAAGGGGUCUUGCUGUGUGGAAGGAUCAGUGUCACCUGUUCGAAGGCAGAGGUAGCCCAGCAGAUGUGGACCUGCGAUUGAAAAGGAUCCUACAAGGAGCAGGUAAGAACCCCCUGAUAAUCCUUCAUGUAGGAACGAAUGAUACGGCUAGGUUCUCGUUAGAGAGGAUCAAGGGAGAUUAUGCCAGGCUGGGGAAGACGCUCAGGGAGA
rnacentral:lncRNA from 1 species